CUCACAAGCUCAGAUCAGAGCCCACUGCCCACCAUCGCUUGCAUUCCAAUAGUUAGUCCAUUUACUCCAAAUACAAUCUCAAAGCUUACACCCGUUUCUUUUUUAAAAUAAAUAAAUAAAUAAUGGGGCAAUAUAAUUACGGGGCAAUAGUUACAACACCCAUUUGAAAUGGGAUUCAUCCACCUCCAAACCAAAGCUCCCAGCUAUUGAAGGAGAAGAACAAAGAGUUCCUCUAACAACCUCCAUCCAAUGCUUCCUGACAUGAGAUAUCUAUCUCCGUCCUGCUUCCUUAGCUUCAAUCUGUUCCAGUCCAUCUGCUUCUUCUUCUUUUGGUAUGGUCAGUAUGGGGGUUCGGGAAAUGAACAUCAAAGCUUUCACCCAAGUGAGACAUUUGGUUUUGGAAUCAUACAUUUAGCUUGUGGUUUGGGUGUUUGAAACCACCCAAUGGACUGGUAGUACCCUUGAUUAUUACCCUUUGGUUGUUAUUACCCUUUCUUUGUUUUUUUUCUUUUUCUGAGUGGAGAGUCGGUUACGGUUUGUUACUCUGGCUCCCAUAUACACUAGCCUUUUGGCUUUAUUUUGUUGAGAGGUUGAGAAUCAAAGAAUCAGUGCAUUCACUCUGUUUUCUCUCUCUUUCCUUCCUUUGGGUAAAACCAGUAAUAUGGUAUCAGAGCAAUUCCUUCUGCUCAUUCUCUGAUUUUUUUUUUUUUGAUGGCUCAAGGUAAUCAACCAAAUCAACGAGCUGUGAUUGGAUCAUCUGAAGUGUCAGCAAUGGAGGAUGUGAGUAGUCCUUUUUUUCUUCACAGUGGUGAUCAUCCUGGACUCAUCCUUGUCUCACACAACUUAACUAAGAGCAGUUACAACACAUGAAGCAGAGUUAUGGCCAUGGCAUUAACAGCAAAGAACAAGUUUGGUUUCAUUGAUGGAACCAUUCCUCAUGCAGCUCAAGUCGAUCUUCUCUUUAAUGCUUGGAAUCACUGCAACAUCAUGGUGACCUUGUGGAUUAUCAACUCCGUUUCAAAGGAUAUUGCAAAUAGUUUGAUGUAUAUUACUACAGCAGUCGGGAUCUGGACCAAUUUGCGCAAUCAUUUUCGACACAGCAAUGCUCCUCGAGUUUUUCAACUCAAGAAACAUCUUAUAACGCUUCAACAAGGAGCUCUUGACAUUAACACUUAUUACACCAGAUUCAAGGUUCUUUGGGAAGAACUCAAGAAUUUUCAACCAUUACCAGCUUUUCAUUGUGGUGAUUUACAAGCGUUGUUAGAAUAUCAGCAGCAAGAGAAUGUGAUUCAGUUUUUAAUGGGCUUAAAUGAUUCCUAUGCCCAAACGAGGGGUCAAAUUUUAAUGAUGGAGCCUCUUCCACCUCUGUCAAAGGUUUUUGCAUUGGUUAUCCAAGAAGAAUGACAACGAUCUAUCAACAAUGGAAUUUCAUCUUUGUCGGAGCCUCUUCAUCUGGGUGAUGCAGGUUCUGCUUCGAUUAAUGCUCAUACAGGGAAUUCAGCUUCAAAGAAAAACGUGAGUGACCUCAAUGUAGCCAUUGUGGACUACAGGGUCAUACCAUUGAUCAUUGUUACAAAUUGCAUGGAUACCCACCUGGGUACAAGCCCAGAUCCAAGACUCAAUUGGGCCAGGCCCAAGCUAAUCAAGCCACUUCUAUUGUGUUUGAGGACUUAGGAACCACAGAUAUGACGCUCAACAGUCUUUUCCCUAGUCAGUGCCAACAACUAAUCGCUCUUCUGAGUUCACAACUACAACGUAGCUCACCUGCCCUUGUGGAAUCGCAGCAACAGGAUGGUCCCUCAGUUUCUAGCUUCAGUGAAUGGAAACAGGCUAUGAGAGUUGAACUCCAUGCUCUUGAGGAGAAUGGUACUUGGUCCUUAACAACUUUACCCCCUGGCAAACGGGAUGUGGGAUGUAAAUGGGUGUACAAGCUCAAGUUUUGAGCUUAUGGGUCUCUUGAGCCGCAUAAAGCUCUCCUAGUUGCCAAAGGAUACACUCAACAAGAAGGUGUGGAUUACAUUGAUACUUUCUCACCUAUAGCAAAACCGGUAACUGUUAAACUUUUAUUGGCUUUAGCUGCUAUCUACGACUGGUGUCUUGUUCAAUUAGAUGUCAAUAAUGCUUUCCUUCAAGGUGAUUUAACCGAAGAAGUUUACAUGAGCUUGCCUCAAGGGUAUCCACAUUAGAGGGAGACACUACCAUCUAACACUAUUUGCAUAUUACACAAAUCAAUCUAUGGCCUAAAGCAAGCUUCAAGGCAAUGGUUUGCUAAAUUUUCUGGUUUUUUAUUGGACAAAGGAUUUACCAAGCACAGUGGUGAGUCAUUCCUUGCAUUGUUGGUGUAUGUUGAUGACAUUGUCAUUACCGACAAUGAUUACAGAACUAUUGAAAAGCUGAAAACCUUCCUUGACAGUCAAUUUAAGCUAAAGGAUCUUGGACAACUCAAAUACUUCCUUGGUUUUAAAGUUGCUAGGUCAAGAAAGGGUAUCUCUGUUAACCAAAGACACUAUGCACUUCAAUUAUUAUCAUAUUUUGGUUUUUUAGGUUGCAAACCUGCAAGCAUGCCCAUGGAGGCUAACAUUAAUCUCUCACAAGAUGACGAAGAGUUAUUGGAGGAUCCCAGCUUGUAUAGACGUCUAAUUGGCAAGCUCUUAUAUCUUACAAUCACACGACCAAAUUUGGCUUACUCAGUGAAUCAUCUUAGUCAAUACUUGGCCAGCUCUACAAUACAUCAAGGGUACAAUAGGACAAGGUCUUUACUUUUCUACUACAUCAUCAGUUCAUCUUAAGGCUUUUGCUGAUUCGGAUUAGGGAGCCUGGAAAGAUAUGAGGAGAUCCAUUAGUGGUUUUUGUGUCUUCCUUGGGGACUCCUUAAUCUCAUGGAAAUCUAAGAAACAGAGUGAUGUUCCUCGAUCUUCAGCUGAGGCAGAAUACCAAGCAAUGGCCAACGUGACUUGUGAGCCAAUUUGGUUGACUGCUCUUCUUCAUGAUUUUGGUAUUCAAAGCAAAGAACCUGCUACACUAUUUUGUAACAAUGAAGUGGCUAUUCAUAUUGCGGCCAAUCCUGUUUUCCACAAAAGGAUGAAGCACAUUGAAAUUGAUUGUCACCUUGUCCAAGAGAAGAUACAAGCAGUUUGUCUCAAAACAAUGCAUGUGUCCUCACAGCACCAGAUUGUCGACCUCUUCACUAAGGCUUUAUUUCCAGCACAGUUCAAAUAUCUCCUCAACAAGAUGGGAAUUCAUAAUCUUCAUUCUCCAUCUUGAGGGGGAGUAUUAGAGCUUUGGCAUUUCUAUAAUAAGGGCAAGUAGUACCCUUGAUUAUUACCCUUUGGUUGUUAUUACCCUUUCUUUGUUUUUUUUUUCUUUUUCUAAGCUGAGAGUUGGUUACGGUUUGUUACUCCGGCUCCCAUAUAAACUAGCCUUUUGGCUUUAUUCUAUUGAGAGGUUGAGAAUCAAAGAAUCAAUGCAUUCACUCUGUUUUCUCUCC